rnacentral:misc_RNA from 1 species
CCAAACUUGGUCAUUUAGAGGAAGUAAAAGUCGUAACAAGGUUUCCGUAGGUGAACCUGCGGAAGGAUCAUUACCGAGUGAGGGUUCCCUCGUGGGCCCAACCUCCCACCCGUGUUUACCGUACCCUGUUGCUUCGGCGGUUGCCCCCCCGGGGGUCCGCCGGAGACCAACUUGAACCCUGUAUGAGAGCAUUGCAGUCUGAGUCGAUUGAUACCAAUCAGUUAAAACUUUCAACAAUGGAUCUCUUGGUUCCGGCAUCGAUGAAGAACGCAGC